AGAGCGAACGCUGGCGGCAGGCCUAAUACAUGCAAGUCGAGCGGCCACUUCGGUGGCAGCGGCGGACGGGUGAGUAACGCGUGGGAAUGUGCCCUUUGGUACGGAACAACUGAGGGAAACUUCAGCUAAUACCGUAUGUGCCCUUCGGGGGAAAGAUUUAUUGCCAUUGGAGCAGCCCGCGUUGGAUUAGCUAGUUGGUGGGGUAAAGCCCACCAAGGCGACGAUCCAUAGCUGGUCUGAGAGGAUGAUCAGCCACACUGGACUGAGACACGGCCAGACUCCUACGGGAGCAGCUAGUAGGGAUUUGGACAAGUGGGGAACCCUGACUCCGAGCCACUCCCGCGUGU
rnacentral:rRNA from 1 species